rnacentral:rRNA from 1 species
GGAUUAGAUACCCUGGUAGUCCACGCCGUAAACGAUGAGUGCUAGACGUUGGAAAUUAAUUUUUCAGUGUCGUAGUUAACGCAUUAAGCACUCCGCCUGGGGAGUACGGUCGCAAGAUUAAAACUCAAAGGAAUUGACGGGGGCCCGCACAAGCGGUGGAGCAUGUGGUUUAAUUCGACGCAACGCGAAGAACCUUACCAGCUCUUGACAUUGCUAAGUCGCGAGUUUUAGAGAUAAAACUCUUCAGUUCGGCUGGACUUAGUACAGGUGCUGCAUGGCUGUCGUCAGCUCGUGUUG